rnacentral:rRNA from 1 species
UACAGAGGGGGCAAGCGUUAUUCGGAAUUAUUGGGCGUAAAGGCGCGUAGGCGGCCAUUCAAGUGACGGGUGAAAGCCCUCGGCUUAACCGAGGAACUGCCUGUCAGACUGGAUGGCUUGAGACCGGGAGAGGUGAGUGGAAUUCCCAGUGUAGCGGUGAAAUGCGUAGAUAUCUGGAGGAACACCGGUGGUGAAGGCGGCAUCCUGGACCAACACUGACGCUGAGGAGCGAAAGCCAGGGGAGCAAAGCGGG